rnacentral:lncRNA from 1 species
UAUUUAAUUCUCUUUGUUCAAUCAAAUUGAGCUAAUUAGUAAUCUAAUUAUUAAUUAAUCAUCUAUAAAUUUACUAACACUUGAUAAAUUAAUUUAUUAUAAUUUUUAUAUAAGGUUAACCAUUAAUCGAAUUGAUGAUUAAGUCUUUGAACGAUUCUUAAUCGUUGAUCAACCAUAUGAUUAGUCAGAAAUUUCUUUUGAGUGUGACACCAUAGGUUCGAACUUAAGUCGGUAGCACAUGAAUAAUUUUCUGAACUAAUCAAUCUAACCAUUUAGUAAUGGUGAUGCGACGUCCAGAU